rnacentral:rRNA from 1 species
AAUCAACUGAGAUUCCCCCAGUAGCGGCGAGCGAACGGGGAGCAGCCCAGAGCCUGAAUCAGUGUGUGUGUUAGUGGAAGCGUCUGGAAAGGCGCGCGAUACAGGGUGACAGCCCCGUACACAAAAAUGCACAUGCUGUGAGCUCGAUGAGUAGGGCGGGACACGUGGUAUCCUGUCUGAAUAUGGGGGGACCAUCCUCCAAGGCUAAAUACUCCUGACUGACCGAUAGUGAACCAGUACCGUGAGGGAAAGGCGAAAAGAACCCCGGCGAGGGGAGUGAAAAAGAACCUGAAACCGUGUACGUACAAGCAGUGGGAGCACAGAGCAAUCUGUGUGACUGCGUACCUUUUGUAUAAUGGGUCAGCGACUUAUAUUCUGUAGCAAGGUUAACCGAAUAGGGGAGCCGAAGGGAAACCGAGUCUUAACUGGGCGUUAAGUUGCAGGGUAUAGACCCGAAACCCGGUGAUCUAGCCAUGGGCAGGUUGAAGGUUGGGUAACACUAACUGGAGGACCGAACCGACUAAUGUUGAAAAAUUAGCGGAUGACUUGUGGCUGGGGGUGAAAGGCCAAUCAAACCGGGAGAUAGCUGGUUCUCCCCGAAAGCUAUUUAGGUAGCGCCUCGUGAAUUCAUCUCCGGGGGUAGAGCACUGUUUCGGCAAGGGGGUCAUCCCGACUUACCAACCCGAUGCAAACUGCGAAUACCGGAGAAUGUUAUCACGGGAGACACACGGCGGGUGCUAACGUCCGUCGUGAAGAGGGAAACAACCCAGACCGCCAGCUAAGGUCCCAAAGUCAUGGUUAAGUGGGAAACGAUGUGGGAAGGCCCAGACAGCCAGGAUGUUGGCUUAGAAGCAGCCAUCAUUUAAAGAAAGCGUAAUAGCUCACUGGUCGAGUCGGCCUGCGCGGAAGAUGUAACGGGGCUAAACCAUGCACCGAAGCUGCGGCAGCGACGCUUAUGCGUUGUUGGGUA